UGCUGAUCACAUCGAAAGAUUGUUGAAUAAAACAGGAUGUUGCAGUUCUUCACAGUUAAGGAUUUAUCAAGACAAAAUGAUAUGCCCUGGAUUUCAAUGUAAAAGAAAACGAAUACCCUCAUGACACCACUUGCAGCAACAUUUCAGAGAAAUGAUUAAAGUGUCCUAAACAAAUCAAAAGAUGACACCCAAGAAACUUGUUGAGGCUGUUUCACUGUGACUGAUGAAAGAAUGCUAUGAACCUUUGGAGACCAAGGAAUUGGGAUAGUCUCUAUUAUGAGGGAAAGAUGUAACCGAGAAAGAAAUAAGGUUGACCUUCAUCAACAAUUUUGGUUUAAUUUCAUGGUAGAAAGGAAAAAUACUGUGGGUAUUAACCUGUUAACCAAGACAUUGUAAUAUGUGAUCACACUGCCAUUCAGUGAAAAAGCCCUUUGUGUUGAUACAUGAACA